GAUAACAACCCCGCAAAGAUAAUCAAUAGGUUUCUUUAGUUGUUUCAAUGUAUUAUGUGUGGUAGUGGUUGUAUUUAGUUGUUGCUAUUUUGAAGAAAAGAUUAAAUUGGAAUAAUUGAUGGACCCAUAAUUUAUUUAAAUUAGUUGAUUUAAUGUAGUAAGAGCUAGUUGAUGAUAGUCGUGCAAUUAAAUAAAAAUUAGUAAAAGAUUACUUUGGCAAUGGAAAUUUAUGGACGUAAAGACGGAGGAUGGUAAACAAAUGGAUACCAUGCAGG
rnacentral:misc_RNA from 1 species